AGGAGGAGGACAGAGGAGGGCACACAGACGCAGAGCAAGGGCAGCAAGGAGGAGACCCUGGUGGGAGGAAGACACUCUGGAGAGAGAGGGGGCUGGGCAGAGAUGAAGUUCCAGGGGUCCCUGGCCUGCCUCCUGCUGGCCCUCUGCCUGGGCAGUGGGGAGGCUGGCCCCCUGCAGAGCGGAGGGGAAAGCACUGGGACAAAUAUUGGGGAGGCCAUCGGACAUGGCAUGGGAGACGCCCUGAGCCAAGGGGUGGGAAAGGCCAUUGGCAAAGAGGCCGGAGGGGCAGCCGGCUCUAAAGUCAGUGAGGCCCUUGGCCAAGGGACCAGAGAAGCAGUUGGCACUGGAGUCAGGCAGGUUCCAGGCUUUGGCGCAGCAGAUGCUUUGGGCAACAGGGUCGGGGAAGCAGCCCAUGCUCUGGGAAACACUGGGCAUGAGAUUGGCAGACAGGCGGAAGACGUCAUUCGACACAGAGCAGAUGCUGUCCGCAGCUCCUGGCAGGGGGUGCCUGACCACAGUGGUGCUUGGGAAACUUCUGGAGGCCAUGGCAUCUUUGGCUCUCAAGGUGGCCUUGGAGGCCAGGGCCAGGGCAAUCCUGGAGGUCUGGGGACUCCGUGGGUCCACGGAUACCCCGGAAACUCAGCAGGCAGCUUUGGAAUCAACCCUCAGGGAGCUCCCUGGGGUCAAGGAGGCAAUGGAGGGCCACCAAACUUUGGGACCAACACUCAGGGAGCUGUGGCCCAGCCUGGCUACGGUGCAGUGAGAGCCAGCAACCAGAAUGAAGGGUGCACUAACCCCCCACCAUCUGGCUCAGGCGGAGGCUCCAGCAACUCUGGGGGAGGCAGCGGCUCACAGUCGGGCAGCAGUGGCAGUGGCAGCAGUGGCAGUGGCAGCAAUGGUGACAACAACAAUGGCAGCAGCAGUGGUGGCAGCAGCAGUGGUGGCAGCAGUGGCAACAGCGGUGGCGGCAACAGCGGUGGCAACAGCAGUGGCAGCAGCAGUGGUGGCAGCAGUGGCAACAGUGGUGGCAGCAGCAGCAACAAUGGUGGCAGCAGAGGUGACAGCGGCAGUGAGUCCUCCUGGGGAUCCAGCACCGGCUCCUCCUCCGGCAACCACGGUGGGAGCGGCGGAGGAAAUGGACAUAAACCCGGGUGUGAAAAGCCAGGGAAUGAAGCCCGCGGGAGCGGGGAAUCUGGGAUUCAGGGCUUCAGAGGACAGGGAGUUUCCAGCAACAUGAGGGAAAUAAGCAAAGAGGGCAAUCGCCUCCUUGGAGGCUCUGGAGACAAUUAUCGGGGGCAAGGGUCGAGCUGGGGCAGUGGAGGAGGUGACGCUGUUGGUGGAGUCAAUACUGUGAACUCUGAGACGUCUCCUGGGAUGUUUAACUUUGACACUUUCUGGAAGAAUUUUAAAUCCAAGCUGGGUUUCAUCAACUGGGAUGCCAUAAACAAGAACCAGGUCCCGCCCCCCAGCACCCGAGCCCUCCUCUACUUCAGCCGACUCUGGGAGGAUUUCAAACAGAACACUCCUUUCCUCAACUGGAAAGCAAUUAUUGAGGGUGCGGACGCGUCAUCACUGCAGAAACGUGCAGGCAGAGCCGAUCAGCCGGGUGCAGGAUGGCAGGAUGUGGCAGCUGUAACUUCCAAGAACUACAAUUACAACCAGCAUGCGUAUCCCACUGCCUAUGGUGGGCAGUACUCAGUCAAGACCCCUGCAAAGGGGGGAGUCUCACCUUCUUCCUCGGCUUCCCGAGUGCAACCUGGCCUGCUGCAGUGGGUGAAGUUUUGGUAGGUGAGUGUCAGAGUGAGCCGACCCAGGCCACAUCCUGGGAGUGGAGGCACAGUCACCCGGGGCAGGGCCAGGAUCUUGGUAUAUCCUCAGAUCUCAGUGGGCAGCGACAUGAAGUCAGGCAAUUUCUUGCAGCCACCACCGAGGCCCCGAAAAGCACUGGUCGUCAGGGAGUUCCUCCCCUUGGCCCCCAGCCUGUGCCAGCCCUGGCCCGGCUGCCACACCUCUGUUUCCUAGGCUGGGGACCCAGCUUGUCUCUCCUUGUUUCUUCCCACUGCACUGUGGUGCUUCAGUGGCCACCAGCCUCGUCAGAUACACCAGCAUCUUUCCGUACCUCCUCCCUUUGGUGACCUGAAGUCACUGUGACAGUUCUCCAGGAAGGAGGAGCUUCCUACUUUUGAGUUUCUCUGUGGAAAUAAAACAUGAAUCUUGUUUCCCUA